AAGAUCGUACCUCAUGGGAUUAUCACUAUAUAUAUUUAAAAACUGCCAAGUGUAAAGCUGAGUCGAUGCAACUACGAUGACAGUUGUAGCUCUUUUUUUUGAGCGGGAGGUCGAUUCAAAAUUUUGGUUUUAACGUCAAGAUUUUGAUCACUGAUGAUCGUUCACGCCUGUUAAUUAGUAAAGGGAGCUAUGGGAAGCGAAGUUUUCUGAGUAGA
rnacentral:snoRNA from 1 species